UCGAGCCCUAGAUCCCCAAUUCUCCCAUUCUAUCUCCGAGCACCUUGGUCACCGCCGCCGACUCGCCGAUAUGCCCCCGAGCGGUUCAUUUCGUCGACACGCCGGUGUGUAAAGUAGAAGAUGGAGAAGAGCCAACACACUUCGAGUGUAAUUUAUUUGAUAUGUGUUAAUGUUCGGAGGUGGAACAUCAUCGUACGUAGUUGCGGAUGUAGAAUGUUAUUUUGGACCGAAGUCUGUAACGCGCACUUCUUGGAUGGUCGACAAUCCCGGAAGAAGAUUCAGUUGUUGUAUGAAAUCUAAGAGAGGAACACGGGCAGGGUGUUGUUUUUUUCUGUGGGAAGAUCCUCCUAUAUGCCCUCGAGCUAAAGCUAUCAUCCAAGGUCUAUUGAAGAAGUUGAAUGAUGGAGAUGCCGAAAUUAUGUCUCUGAAGCAACGAGUUAGGAACUUGAAAUUUCUAGCGCAUGUUGAAUUAUUCCGAUUAUCACAUGUGUUUGGAUAAGUUAUUACAUAGCGGUCAAUGAAAGUUUCCUAAUAGUUGAUUGAAGGUAGUUGUUUAGGUAGCUGUUUGGUUGCUUUUGUCGCAUAUUUUCGUACUAACUAUAUUUGUAUCUAUUUUGUAUUUCUGCCAUAACAGUGGUUGUAUUGUCGUUGUUGACGAAUGAAUUGGCAUGUAUUCGCAACUACUUGUAUGCAUUGUAAUUUUUCUAA